CCAGACUCCUACGGGAGGCAGCAGUGGGGAAUAUUGCACAAUGGGCGCAAGCCUGAUGCAGCCAUGCCGCGUGUGUGAAGAAGGCCUUCGGGUUGUAAAGCACUUUCAGCGAGGAGGAAGGUGGUGAGCUUAAUACGUUCAUCAAUUGACGUUACUCGCAGAAGAAGCACCGGCUAACUCCGUGCCAGCAGCCGCGGUAAUACGGAGGGUGCAAGCGUUAAUCGGAAUUACUGGGCGUAAAGCGCACGCAGGCGGUUUGUUAAGU
rnacentral:rRNA from 1 species